ensembl:lncRNA
CGGCCGGGGAGCGAGGAGCGGGGAUGCGGUGGUGCCGGGAGCGGGCGGCCGGGCGUCUGCGUCCUCGCUCGCCGCUGAUUUUAAGCUACCGAAACUUGAGGGAGGCCCUGCAGAGUCACAGGCACCUGAAUGGGACAGUACAAGUGCGAGCUCCAGACUGAAUUCCAUGGGAUCAUGUGCAUGGCAGGAGGAGGAAGCCUGAGCUGAAGCUCCACCAUGAGCAUCAGAAAACUCCGUACACAACAUCGUCAAGAGACAUAACACUCUGACCAUGCCUCAGGGACAAGCCCAAUCUCCUAAAAACAAAAGGUGACACCUUUCUCAAGAAGAGGAAGUUCCUGUCUCCAUCAGGAGAAUGAAAACUAGGGA